ensembl:lncRNA
UAAACAAUUUGACACCCUCAUGACAGUCGCCGCAAUACAUUUAUAUCGUUUUACCGUCAUAAAAGUACAAUUUCUGCUGAUGACAGCUGAAUGACAGACACAUAAUGUCACUUAACAGCACAUAUUUCAUCCCAGCCACAAAAACAACCGGCACGCGCUGUGAUAAAGUGAAUUGACUGUCACGCGACUCACCUAAUAUGGGAUGUUUGGACCGUUACUCCACAACAUAAGCAUGUGGACAGACAUUGACUGUAAUGAUGGACAUCUUCUGAUGCACAGAAAACUAGUGCAGAGAUCUACAUUAUCACUUCUAGAUGAGCAUGUCAGUUAUUAUCCACAGGCUUCAUCAAUACUCAACUCAGCUUGAUCAACUCAUUCUUUUCUAUAGUCUCACAUCAGGACCACAGACAGACACCCAGAACUUUGUGUUUGCCAUGAGAUUUUACAGG